CAUUCACGGAGAGUUUGAUCCUGGCUCAGGACGAACGCUGGCGGCGUGCUUAACACAUGCAAGUCGAACGAUGAAGCCCUUCGGGGUGGAUUAGUGGCGAACGGGUGAGUAACACGUGGGCAAUCUGCCCUUCACUCUGGGACAAGCCCUGGAAACGGGGUC
rnacentral:rRNA from 1 species